CAGAUACCAUCAAUACUUGAUAAAGUCAAUGAAAAAAGUAAAUGAUCAGCUGUGUGAAACUAUUUGCCCACUUUGCCCUCAGAAUGGAAAUGAUAAUGAAACACAAAAUCUAGUAAUCGAAUCGAUGGAUGGGUGUUUCGGGCUAGUAAGGAAGAAGUCAGCUGGGACAGUUCUUUUACCACCAAGACAUGGUACUACUAUGUUUGCAGACCAAGAACGUGUGGAUGAAUUUGUUUUGGACUAUUAAAAAGAUGCACAAGAAGCCCCAGCGGGAGAAAUGCACUGUUUGACGAAAAGGGAGUAUUUGGCAGAGUGUGUAGACAUGAAUACCCUAAAGGUUUCAUCGACAUGAAACAUGGCGAACGGUACAGUAGUUUUCUCCAUAAAUACAAUUUUUUUCACAUGUCUUCUAUGUGAGUUUAUUAUACGCGUAGUCUAGUAGUUUUCCUUGUUGAUAAAUAUACAAGAUUAGCAAUUUUAAUAUUAUUUAGAAUUGCAUAUUCUGUGUUUGAAGUUGAUUGACUUCUUAGUAAUUCAGAUGCUACCACUAAUGUGAAAAUUACGUAUGACAUUGGUUGUACCUUGUCAGCUCAUUUGAAGAAAAAAAACAGGCAAGAUAUUCUGGACAGAAUUGAUUUGGCAAUUCCCGUGUUUCACUGUUACGGGCAUAAAGCUUCCUGUCAGGUU